AAGCGCUUGCAAUUAGAUUUGCUUGCAGUUGAUCAUCCAGUGUUCGUCACUGGUGCACUCAAUUGUGAUCAAGCCAGUAUCAGUUUAGGCGGUUGGAUAAAGACUCUGGGAAUGUAGCUCUCUUCGGGGAGUGUUAUAGCCUAGGGUGCAAUGCAGCCUGCCUGGACUGAGGACCGCGCUUCGGCUAGGAUGCUGGCGUAAUGGUUGUAAGCGA
rnacentral:rRNA from 1 species